GCUGGAGUGGCUCAGGGGUAGAGCAGCGCACUCGUAAUGCGCAGGUCGUGGGUUCGAAUCCCAUCUCCAGCUCCA
rnacentral:tRNA from 1 species